GGUUUUUGUUUUUUAAUUCAAGAAUUCAGCUAUAGGACUAGUUAGCCAUAGGCAAUGGCCUAUAUCUUUCCCUCCCUUCCAGACUUUUCCUCUUGCCCUUAGCAAAGAGAGCUGUAUUGAGCAUCCCUGGGGGAGGUGCAGUAGGAAGGUAGGGUCUGCAAUGAAGGGUGCACCUGCCUUCUGCCCUUGAAACUGGAUCCCAAGACCUACCUGUAUUAUUGACUUGUGCCGAUAACGUGAGCCAAAGAUAAACAGGAAAACGUUCCUCUCUCCCACGCCCUGUUGAGGCAGGUUGUUAGGCCUGGAUACAGGACGCUGUUCAGAGUACACCCCUGGAAGACUGACCGGUGUCUCAUUGUCUUUUGGCCUGGGAUAUAGUUGACAGACUUGAUGUUUUCUUAAUGGCACAGUGGGAGGACCUCGUGGCUUGUGCCUGAAAGUUGCAGAACGGUUGGAGACAAAAGCAAAAUGUUAUUUUGUGGUACAAGGCUUAUUUUGUCUAUUUAGCUGUGCAUAGUUAUAGCUUUAUAAAAAAAACAAAGGGAUCUUUGUAAAAAAAAUGUACGAAUGUGUGCUCUUAUUUAUUGAUUAUUGUAAAUGAAGAUAUAAAUGGAUAUUUGCAUAAUUUAUAUCUAUAGGAAACUCCCUGGAGCGUUUGUUACUUGACUGUUUUCUAUCAUGGAACAUUGGGCCUGGUGCUAUGAUGAAUGACCUUGUAAAAUCACGUGUAUUCUUAAGAAAAAAUUUCAAUAUAAAUUUCUUGAACUGGCU
rnacentral:lncRNA from 1 species